rnacentral:rRNA from 1 species
AUGGCAUCGGAGCCGGCCACGCUACCCGACGAUGCCCUCGCCGAGGUCCUCCGGCGUCUCCCGCCGCACGUCCUGGCCAAGGCCCGGCGGGUCUGCACAGCGUGGCGCGACGCCGUCGACGACCGCCUGCACGCCAGCCUGCUUUCGCGUUCGGUGCGCGGCAUCUUCAUCAACUUCAAGGGGCAGUACUUCUCGGAGUUUUUCUCCCGCCCGUCGACGGGCCCGGCGAUCGACGGAGGGUUCGACUUCCUGCCUUGCAUGGGCGUCGAGGUCAAGGACCACUGCGACAUGGGCGUCAAGGUCAAGGACCACUGCAACGGCCUUUUGCUUUGCCGCGAGUCGAGCUACCGUGCACUGCCGUGCCCGCGCGAGUACGUCGUCAACCCGGCCACCCGGCGGUGGGCGCGUUUGCCCAAACGCCCCCCGCCGCUCGUGCCAGGAUUCGACCACACCGCCCACCUCGCGUUCGAGCCCGCCGUGUCGCCGCACUACCAGGUAUUUCUGAUCCCACGCGUGCCAUGGCGACUGCCAUCCGACAGAGAAUCCGACGAUGACGAUGACAACCCGUUGCUCGAAUUGGAGUGGCCUCCGGCGUCAUACCUCGUCGAUGUGUUCUCUUUGGUGACUCAGCGAUGGGACACGACAACCUUCCUUCGGGAAGGGGAAGCUGCCGGAAUCGUCGCCGACAUGCAGUUGGAUUGGCGCUAUGAUCCGUCUCUCUAUCAUGCCGUAUACUGGCAAAGCGCACUCUACAUCCAUUGCCAACAUGGCUAUCUUACGAGAAUGUCCUUGUCAGAUCACUCGUACAGAGUAAUUAAACUACCAGGUGCCGGUGGAUUGAUAGUAUAUUCCAACCACCGUCUCGGGAGAUCAUCGCAAGGGGUGUAUUGUGCAAUACUUGAUGGCUCGAAACGACUUCAGGUUUGGUAUCUCAGUGAAUCAUGCGGUCGAAUAGAAUGGGUAUUAAAACAUGAUACCCGACUUGAGACCGUCUAUGCUCAACAACUGGCCAGACAAUGGAUCUUACAACAGGUUAACCACCGUAAGGAGUACCCUGAGCACAAAGCCUCAGUGGACAUGAAAUAUGACUAUGACUGGAACUCUGAUGAGGAUAACGUUCUUGACACUGAAGACGUCGUUGAAGAGGCUGUGGAUGUCAUUGAAGAUGAAGAGCACAUAUCUUAUGGUUUCCUUGGAUUUCAUCCUGAUAAAGAGGUUGUCUUCUUGAAUACACCAACAAGAGGACUAGCCUAUGACUGGAUCAACUCAAAAUUUCAGGACUUGGGCAGUUCAUGGACAUGUCAAGAGUAUGGAACACCAUAUGGAGAGACAGGCAACUGGAAGCUCAACGAGGAGGAAUCCUACUUCACCUACAUGGGCGAGUACGAGCUGCGCAAGCAGUCUGGGCGUGCCAAGAGGGUCAAGGAUUCUGCCGCCAAGAUUCGUCGCAGACACCUCAUUGCCGCUCGGUUGGAACCCAUCAUUACCGACAUGAAGUCGAAGGCGAUUCGCACCGGGGCGACCGAGUUCAACCUUGGCAAGGCCACCACAGAACUAUACUUCUCGGAGUUUUUCUCCCGCCCGUCGACGGGCCCGGCGAUCGACGGAGGGUUCGACUUCCUGCCUUGCAUGGGCGUUGAGGUCAAGGACCACUGCGACAUGGGCGUCAAGGUCAAGGACCACUGCAACGGCCUUUUGCUUUGCCGCGAGUCGAGCUACCGUGCACUGCCGUGCCCGCGCGAGUACGUCGUCAACCCGGCCACCCGGCGGUGGGCGCGUUUGCCCAAACGCCCCCCGCCGCUCGUGCCAGGAUUCGACCACACCGCCCACCUCGCGUUCGAGCCCGCCGUGUCGCCGCACUACCAGGUAUUUCUGAUCCCACGCGUGCCAUGGCGACUGCCAUCCGACAGAGAAUCCGACGAUGACGAUGACAACCCGUUGCUCGAAUUGGAGUGGCCUCCGGCGUCAUACCUCGUCGAUGUGUUCUCUUUGGUGACUCAGCGAUGGGACACGACAACCUUCCUUCGGGAAGGGGAAGCUGCCGGAAUCGUCGCCGACAUGCAGUUGGAUUGGCGCUAUGAUCCGUCUCUCUAUCAUGCCGUAUACUGGCAAAGCGCACUCUACAUCCAUUGCCAACAUGGCUAUCUUACGAGAAUGUCCUUGUCAGAUCACUCGUACAGAGUAAUUAAACUACCAGGUGCCGGUGGAUUGAUAGUAUAUUCCAACCACCGUCUCGGGAGAUCAUCACAAGGGGUGUAUUGUGCAAUACUUGAUGGCUCGAAACGACUUCAGGUUUGGUAUCUCAGUGAAUCAUGCGGUCGAAUAGAAUGGGUAUUAAAACAUGAUACCCGACUUGAGACCGUCUAUGCUCAACAACUGGCCAGACAAUGGAUCUUACAACAGGUUAACCACCGUAAGGAGUACCCUGAGCACAAAGCCUCAGUGGACAUGAAAUAUGACUAUGACUGGAACUCUGAUGAGGAUAACGUUCUUGACACUGAAGACGUCGUUGAAGAGGCUGUGGAUGUCAUUGAAGAUGAAGAGCACAUAUCUUAUGGUUUCCUUGGAUUUCAUCCUGAUAAAGAGGUUGUCUUCUUGAAUACACCAACAAGAGGACUAGCCUAUGACUGGAUCAACUCAAAAUUUCAGGACUUGGGCAGUUCAUGGACAUGUCAAGAGUAUGGAACACCAUAUGGAGAGACAGGCAACUGGAAGCUCAACGAGGAGGAAUCCUACUUCACCUACAUGGGCGAGUACGAGCUGCGCAAGCAGUCUGGGCGUGCCAAGAGGGUCAAGGAUUCUGCCGCCAAGAUUCGUCGCAGACACCUCAUUGCCGCUCGGUUGGAACCCAUCAUUACCGACAUGAAGUCGAAGGCGAUUCGCACCGGGGCGACCGAGUUCAACCUUGGCAAGGCCACCACAGAACUAUACUUCUCGGAGUUUUUCUCCCGCCCGUCGACGGGCCCGGCGAUCGACGGAGGGUUCGACUUCCUGCCUUGCAUGGGCGUCGAGGUCAAGGACCACUGCGACAUGGGCGUCAAGGUCAAGGACCACUGCAACGGCCUUUUGCUUUGCCGCGAGUCGAGCUACCGUGCACUGCCGUGCCCGCGCGAGUACGUCGUCAACCCGGCCACCCGGCGGUGGGCGCGUUUGCCCAAACGCCCCCCGCCGCUCGUGCCAGGAUUCGACCACACCGCCCACCUCGCGUUCGAGCCCGCCGUGUCGCCGCACUACCAGGUAUUUCUGAUCCCACGCGUGCCAUGGCGACUGCCAUCCGACAGAGAAUCCGACGAUGACGAUGACAACCCGUUGCUCGAAUUGGAGUGGCCUCCGGCGUCAUACCUCGUCGAUGUGUUCUCUUUGGUGACUCAGCGAUGGGACACGACAACCUUCCUUCGGGAAGGGGAAGCUGCCGGAAUUGUCGCCGACAUGCAGUUGGAUUGGCGCUAUGAUCCGUCUCUCUAUCAUGCCGUAUACUGGCAAAGCGCACUCUACAUCCAUUGCCAACAUGGCUAUCUUACGAGAAUGUCCUUGUCAGAUCACUCGUACAGAGUAAUUAAACUACCAGGUGCCGGUGGAUUGAUAGUAUAUUCCAACCACCGUCUCGGGAGAUCAUCGCAAGGGGUGUAUUGUGCAAUACUUGAUGGCUCGAAACGACUUCAGGUUUGGUAUCUCAGUGAAUCAUGCGGUCGAAUAGAAUGGGUAUUAAAACAUGAUACCCGACUUGAGACCGUCUAUGCUCAACAACUGGCCAGACAAUGGAUCUUACAACAGGUUAACCACCGUAAGGAGUACCCUGAGCUCAAAGCCUCAGUGGACAUGAAAUAUGACUAUGACUGGAACUCUGAUGAGGAUAACGUUCUUGACACUGAAGACGUCGUUGAAGAGGCUGUGGAUGUCAUUGAAGAUGAAGAGCACAUAUCUUAUGGUUUCCUUGGAUUUCAUCCUUAUAAAGAGGUUGUCUUCUUGAAUACACCAACAAGAGGACUAGCCUAUGACUGGAUCAACUCCAAAUUUCAGGACUUGGGCAGUUCAUGGACAUGUCAAGAGUAUGGAACACCAUAUGGAGAGACAGGCGUAUCUUCCCCAUACACGCCUUGCUGCGUAAGCGCGUUUCCUGGAAAUGAAUUAGAAUCUCUUCUUUUAGACGAGAAGCUAUAUAGGAACAAGCUAGAACUGGAAGCUCAACUUGAGGAGGAAUCCUACUUCACCUACAUGGGCGAGUACGAGCUGCGCAAGCAGUCUGGGCGUGCCAAGAGGGUCAAGGAUUCUGCCGCGAAGAUUCGCCCCCUAAGCAACCACUUCUUUGUUGAUGUCAUACAUGGUGGCUAUUUCCUAUGUGCAGGCAAGCAUAGGGGUUAUCACAAGGGCCACUCCAUUUGGUAUGACAACUGUGAUAUAGAUAAUUGGACACCUACAGUUGUUGCUAGUCUGGUGGAGGAAAUUGGGUAUGAGUUUGACGGCAGGAUAAGGGCUUACUGGUGUGUUCCUGGACUGACAGUCUAUAAGAAUGGCUUAAGAGAAAUUAAGUUAGGGGACAACACAAUGACAGAGAACAUGAAGGAUUGUGUUCCGAAUGGGAACCAUUUCCAGCAGAUAUUUGUUGAUCAUGAUGACAACAUGAGGUCAUAUAUUUCCUCUGUUCCAAUUCAUUCUGAUGAUGAGGAUCCUCCUUUGGCCAAAUUCAGUGGCCUGAGGCCUAAGAAGGAGCAAGUGCAAGAGGAGCAGUCACAGCCAGUGCAGGAGGAUCAUUCUGACCAAGUGCAAGAGGAAAAUGCUGAGCAAGUGCAAGAGGAGCAGGCUGAGCAAGAUCAAUUAUAUGAUGCGGAAAGUGAGGAAGAGUCAGAAGAAGAGGAGUACAUACCAGAAGAUGGAAUUGGUGAUUCAGCAAUGAGAUCUUCAGCAAUUCAUGGUUUUGAUGAAGAUUUCAAUCCACAACUUGUUGAUUCAGAUAUUGAUCUGAAAGAUGAUGAUGACUUGUUUGACAGAAAUGUUGAUUGUGAUAAAGGUAAAGGUUUAGCAGUCGAAGAACAACCUGAUGAUCCUAUUGAAGAUGUGGACCUGUGUUUGCCUUCUUCUGAUGAAGAUAAGAAAAAAUGCUUGAUGGUCAAGAAAUACAAUCCAAAGCAUACCUGCAUAAAGAAAUGGUAUGUGAAGUCAUUCACUGCUCCCUUCAUGGCAGGAAAAUACAUUGAUUCUUUCAGAGUAGAUGAAAACAUGAACAUGAAGAAUUUUGCAAGGGUGGUUCAGAAGGACUGGAACAUGACAGCUACAAGGAGCAAACUUAGAAGGGCUAAGAGACUAGUCAAGAAGGUCCUUGAAGGAGAUGGGUUAGAGCAGUACAACAGCAUGUGGGAUUAUGCACAAGAAGUCAAAACAUCAAACCCAUGCCACAACAUCAAAGGAUGCAAUCAAAGGAAGGCUGACAUUUUGCAAAAGAAACAUGUGAGAAGGGUGCCAAGGGCUAUACCUGAUGAUGUGUCAGAUGAUGACCAACAAGCUGCUAACCAAGUACCACAUGCUGCUCAACAAGAAUGCCAACUCCCACAGAAGGAAUUCAAUCUAACACAAGAUGGUGGCCAACUCACACAAGAUGAGAUUAAUCUAGCAGAAGAUGAUGCCCAAGUACCACGGCAGGAGGUGCAGGACUUUGGAUGUACAAUGCUUCACAGGAUGCAGCAAGCUAGACCAGUGCCUAGAGAUUACAAUGAAACCAUUGUGCCAGAUUCAACAUUUGUCUCUAUGGCAGCUAAUUCUCAAGCUACAACACAUACAACAAUAGCUACAAUAGCUACAACUGAUGGGAAUCUGACCAUGAAGCUGUUGAAGAUGAAGAAGGACAAAGAAAGGCAGAUGGCAGCCAGAAGAGAUGCAACACUGGAGUCCAUGAAUGAGUUGGCAGAGAAAAGAGCAGAGGAGGCAGAAGCAAAAAGGAAAGAUAUUGCUAUCAGGAAAGCAGAGCAGGCAGCAAGAAGAAGAAGAGCAGCAAAAGACAAGAAGGCUGAGGAAACAGCAGCAAGGAAAGUUGCAGCUAAAGCAGAGGCAACACUUAAGAGAAAAGAAGAACAAGAAGAAAAGAGAGCAGAGGUAGCACUGAAGAGGAAGGAAGAUCAAGAAGCAAAGAGGAAACAGCAAGAAGAGGCCAAGAGAAGAAGAGCUGAGGAUAAGAAGCAAGCAGGGCCAAGUGCACAUGUGCCCAAGAACCACAAACGAGUCAAUAUGUUUGAUGAGUUUAGACGAAUCACUGUUUCCCCUCCUCUGUCUUUAAGCCCACCCACCCGACCGCCACUCGCCACUCGCGUCGCCUUGGUUUCUCCUUGCUCAGUCGCAGCCGACGACCACACCGCCGCCGCCGACAUGGAGAACAACCCUGCCUCGCAGAGGGUCAUCGAUGACCUCGCAGGCGACGACCAGGCGAUGCGAGUAGACCUGACGGGGAUCAGGAAGUGGUUCCCGAGCAUUGGGAUGUUGCGUCAGCACGUGCAUGGCCUCCUGAAGAUCAUGAUCGACGACGAGCUGGACCGCGCCUGCACCGACCGCCUCGGUAUCCCUCCUGCGCUCGUCCUCCCCUUCGUGAUGCAGGAGACACGCUCUGACGACCCGGGCCAGCGCGCCCGGAGGUGGAGGUAUAGGUCCGCCACCGCACCGCGGCAGCCGGAUCCGUCGUGCGCUGGCUCACGAGUGGAGCGCGUCUACAACGUCGAGGUGGCCGUUCUCGCGCCUGUCAACACAGCCUACUGGGACCACUACCAGCCCGACCUCCUCGGGCACGAUGACGACUCCGAUUACAUCUCGUCCGACUCGCACUACGACUCUGGCUCCGACAACGACUCUGGUUAUGCCGCCGACUCGUCUUGGGAGGGUGACAAGCACUGCCCCAUUGAUGUUGACCUGCUUCCAGAUGUUCCUGACAUCGUCAAGCAGGAGGUGGAGGUGGUCUUGGCACUUGAAGCACAUGCAGAGGUGGCAGAGAACAAAAAGAAGAGGAAGAUACCUGAAGAAGGUGCAGCUGAGGUUUGCUGGUCAGAGCGCUUGAAGAAGAUGAACAACUGA